rnacentral:lncRNA from 1 species
GUACAAAGACAAUUUGAAUUGGGUUCUUAGGUGCUCUGGUAAUGGAAUUCCUAUUUCUCGAAGUGAGUUCAGUCUUUCUUGUAAACACCAUAUAAAACAAGAAAAUUACGAUAGUUUGUAACUUAAACAACCCCUUCAUAAUACUACAAAAUCAAAUAAGUUUAUAAGUCAAGUUAAAAACAAAGGAAAAGACUGAUAUAAAACUAUUGAACCAAAAAGCUAUAACAAUAUAUAA